rfam:Triticum aestivum genome assembly, contig: Triticum_aestivum_CS42_TGACv1_scaffold_577684_7BL
GAGCAACUCUCUCCGUCCGGAAAUACUUGUCCGAGAAAUGGAUGUAUCUAGACGUAUUUUAGUUCUAGAUACAUUCAUUUCCAUCCAUUUCUAUGCAAGUAAUUCCGGACGGAGGGAGUACUUA